CAGCAUGCUGUUAAAGUCAGCCUGGAUUCAAGGGAAAAGGAACUGAUGCUAUCUCAACAGAAGGAGUAACAGCUUGUAGCCAUCUCACAUCUACUGCAGUUACUACUCUCAGUAUUGGCUUUAUAUUUAAUUUGAUGGAUCACGAGCAGAGAUGUGGAGAAGGAGGUAAUGGAACAAUCUGAGCUCCUCAUCUUUUUAGGCAAUAGAAUUUCCUGUAUAGAAAUUCUAUUAGAAAACCAGUUGGAAAGGAAAAUGAGACCAACACAGAUACAGUUGAAUGGCUCAGAUUAAAAUGAUCGGAAGAAGUUGCUUUAAUUGUUAAUUUCAUCACUACUGAAAGGGAUCAGAUGAAGAGAGAAGUCAGC
rnacentral:lncRNA from 1 species